rnacentral:lncRNA from 1 species
GUCCGGCAACACCCGGCUCGCCACGCGCCCAUUCCAGGACCCCGACGACACCUGUCAUGUCCGAUGGCUGACCCUCCUCGCCGCCCUCCUCUAGCUGCCCGUUCCAGCAUCUUCGCGAGAGGUUCUACGCCAUGGUUCAUGUGAGCCACCUGCCUCAUCGCCAGCUCUGGCAAAAGCUAUGGAUGGAGGUCUGCUCCAAGCCUGAGGGGGAGCGGCUGGGCGGCACGCAGAUUCACAGCUUUGCGGCAAAGAUCAACGCGAGAGGGAACGGGAGCCCCAAAGUCACACACCUACAGGGGACAGCAGGCGGGGGAGGGUCCGAAAGAGAGGCCUUGAGAGACAGAGGGAGGCCGAAGGAGAGGAAGCAGAUAGGAGGGAAAGAGGGGGAACUAUGGGGCAGAAGAUAGGGGGAAGCUAAUGGAGGAAAAUUGGUGAAAGAGACUGGAAGUCACAGGGUGAUAGCAAGGGAGAUGGAGGGAAGGGGAAUGCCAGGGCGAGCAAGCGAACAAGAGGGAGGGAUGGAGGGAUGGAGGGAAGAGGGUGUACAGUGACCUGGCCUUGUGCAGAGAGAGGGUCUUUGCAGGCUGGGUCGGACCACUGGAGCGAGCCCUCCUUGCGGAAGGAAGGAAAGAAGGAAGGUGCCCUAGCUACUGCUGGCACGGUGCGCGUCAGUCCAGCGUCGGAGCAGAUGGGGCUGGAAUUCUAGCCCACCCACCAGGGAGGAGUAGCGCUCCCUCAUCAGUCAUCCCGGGUGGGGUGGGUGCAGCCAGGUGUGGUGGUGCGGGUCGCUGGGGUGGGGGUGGAGCUGUGAGGACUCCUGCAGCACGGCUGGGCUACAGACAACUCCCGGUCCCUGCUGAAGCGUCUCCCCCUCCGCUCGCAGAGCGUACUGUGGAACGAAGCACCGGUGCAGCACUCGUGAACCAGGAGACGCAAAGUUCUCGGAGUCAAACGAAGGAGGAUUUCGGUGGAGGGGCCUGCCUUCAUUUCCCGGACGACCGCGGAAGGAGACCUUCCGGAGGAGAGGUUGCUGGGGUCGCGGCCCGGGAACGGCCGAACCGGACGUACCGCUGACGGAAUCGGAGACGAGAGAACAGGAAGACAGGCCCUCCUCCAGGUGAGCGGAGCGACGGCACCCUGUCGUGUCACACCGGUAACAAGAUGCCCCCCGCGAGGCCACCUUAACAGAGCUGAGCUCCAUGUCAUCGCCACAUUGUCCAGCGUGUCAGGACAAACCUG